AUGACCAUGGACGUCUAAUCUCCCUGUCCCUACUUCCCAAGUUCUAGGAUUAUUAGGCCCACGGUACCACUCCUCGAUUGGCACACGGCAUUUUAAAUCCUGAGUGGCAUGGGGCACUGCCCACACUGGCUGAUGUGUCGGCUUGGAUUUCACAACGGUCUUCUUGGGGAAGGAGGUUUCCUGGAAGUUGUGAAAGGCAGAUGUGAGAAGUGAGUCUCCAGGACAGUCUGUUCUCUCCCAGACUUGUGGCUAACCCUGGCUAAGCAACAUCCUCACAGAGAGCAGGUGCCCAGAUAGAUGUCUGUCAGCCUCAGGCUCUUCUUAAACCAGGGCAACAGGGCAUUCCCGGUCACCUGCCCAGAACAGAAAACCGUGGGCAGGAGGUGUGUCCAGACAGGCUUUUACCUGGCUGUGGAAUCGUUCAGUAUGAGCAACUCUCCUGGGCUGAGAAAGGCAUGGGUAAUAGAGAGAAUCUCUGUCCUAAGGGUCAACAGACACACACCGUGAGCGCCACAGGCCCCAGCAGCUCUAGUAGCCGCUGUAAACAGUGGAGACAUGUUUGCUCGAAUUUGAUUUUAAGCCCAGUGCUUCAGAUGUCUCUCAGGCAGAACAUUUCGGGCAAACCCGGAUUUUCAAAGUACAAAACGAGGCUCAGAGAAAGAUAUACAAAUGGGGUCUGAUUGGGGUUGUUUUGUUUUUGUUUUCCUAAAGACGGGACUUCACUAUUCAUUUUAAAAAGCCCAAGCUGGCCCAGAGCUUGUGAUCUUCCUGCCUCGGGCUCUCAAGUGUAGACUCUGACAGUCCCUAUCAGUACUGGGGUGAGACUCG
rnacentral:lncRNA from 1 species